AUACAAGAUGGCAUCAUGAGUCCGCAUGUUCACAUGAUUAAAGGUAUUCCGGUAGACGAUGGGGAUGCGUUCCAUUAGAUAGUAGGCGGGGUAACGGCCCACCUAGUCUUCGAUGGAUAGGGGUUCUGAGAGGAAGGUCCCCCACAUUGGAACUGAGACACGGUCCAAACUCCUACGGGAGGCAGCAGUGAGGAAUAUUGGUCAAUGGGCGAGAGCCUGAACCAGCCAAGUAGCGUGAAGGAUGACUGCCCUAUGGGUUGUAAACUUCUUUUAUGAAGGAAUAAAGUCGGGUAUGGAUACCCGUUUGCAUGUACUUUAUGAAUAAGGAUCGGCUAACUCCGUGCCAGCAGCCGCGGUAAUACGGAGGAUCCGAGCGUUAUCCGGAUUUAUUGGGUUUAAAGGGAGCGUAGAUGGAUGUUUAAGUCAGUUGUGAAAGUUUGCGGCUCAACCGUAAAAUUGCAGUUGAUACUGGAUAUCUUGAGUGCAGUUGAGGCAGGCGGAAUUCGUGGUGUAGCGGUGAAAUGCUUAGAUAUCACGAAGAACUCCGAUUGCGAAGGCAGCCUGCUAAGCUGCAACUGACAUUGAGGCUCGAAAGUGUGGGUAUCAAACAGGAUUAGAUACCCUGGUAGUCCACACGGUAAACGAUGAAUACUCGCUGUUUGCGAUAUACUGCAAGCGGCCAAGCGAAAGCGUUAAGUAUUCCACCUGGGGAGUAC
rnacentral:rRNA from 1 species